GGCCGGUUAGCUCAGCUGGUUAGAGCGUGGUGCUAAUAACGCCAAGGUCGCGGGGUUCGAUCCCCCGUACGGGCCA